UGAGCCACACAAGGGACAAACGGAAUAUCAGC
rnacentral:piRNA from 1 species